GACGAACGCUGGCGGCGUGCUUAACACAUGCAAGUCGAACGUGAUUUUUGUGGAAAUUCUUUCGGGAAUGGAAAUGAAAUGAAAGUGGCGAACGGGUGAGUAACACGUGAGCAACCUACCUUACACAGGGGGAUAGCCGUUGGAAACGACGAUUAAUACCGCAUGAGACCACAGAAUCGCAUGAUAUAGGGGUCAAAGAUUUAUCGGUGUAAGAAGGGCUCGCGUCUGAUUAGCUAGUUGGAAGGGUAAAGGCCUACCAAGGCGACGAUCAGUAGCCGGUCUGAGAGGAUGAACGGCCACAUUGGAACUGAGACACGGUCCAAACUCCUACGGGAGGCAGCAGUGGGGAAUAUUGCACAAUGGGGGGAAACCCCUGAUGCAGCGACGCCGCGUGAAGCGAAGAAG
rnacentral:rRNA from 1 species